GCUGGGCAUGGUGGUGCACACCUGUAGUCCCAGCUACUUGGGAGGCUGAGGCAGAAGGACUGCUUGAGCCCAGGAGUUCAAGGCUGCAGUGAGCUACGGUUUCUCCACUGCACUCUAGCCUGGGCAACAAAGGAAGACCCUGUCUCAA
rfam:Pan troglodytes isolate Yerkes chimp pedigree #C0471 (Clint) chromosome 3, whole genome shotgun sequence.